rnacentral:piRNA from 1 species
UGACCUUCCACAGUGUCCCUGCCAAAGAGC